rnacentral:lncRNA from 1 species
CCUGCGAAAAUUACUUGGAUAUUAUUUUUCUAAAAAUAUCGUGGAAAUAAGCUUUUCAGUUAUUCUGUUGUGCAUGGAUUGGAAGUCAUACAACACUAAGGCUUUCUAACAAAUGCAACAAUUGCAUUUGUGAAAAGAAUUAAUCAGCUGUUUGAUGUUUUAAACAACAAUUAUCCAAUCAGUCCAUUAAGACAUGAAUCAGAGGACUUGAUAUAGUGAUGGAAGAUGCAAUUAAAUGACUUGAUCAGUGGGAAGAUUUAAUUAAUAACAGCUGUUGAAAAUAAUGUAAGAAAAAAGAAUGGGGCUUUCUUAGAAAGCAGACUUGAAAAUCUGAGGUUAACAUUGGCCAGCAUUCUGGAAUUGUCAAAGUAGCUUUUGUCACAGAAUGUAUGUUAUGUUUUAACUGAUCUUUUAAUCAAGAUCCACUUGAGGUAUAUAUCUGGAUAAUUGUGUAAGUUUAUACAAUCUUAAUGUAAAUAUUUUGACUUCAUAAGUUAAACUUGUAUGAUCUUCCUCUAAAGUUAAUGGGCAUUUUUACAAUCCCCAGACUCUUCAAAUAGAACAUGUAUUAUAUUUACUUCUAAAUAGCAGAUGCUGUCGUCCAUAACCAACCUUACGAAAAUGCAAAGUCUCACCUUCGAUAUUCUGAAAGAAUUAAUUACAUACAAAAUAUUUUAAAACUAAAAGAAUCAGUUCAAAUACUCUUUCAGAGGAUGAAUUUUGAUCGUAGGCAUCGAAUAAAGAUGCUGAAAAUAGGAAUGGGGAGGAGGACAGGUUGUAAAAAGGCAAACAAUACUCUAUCCAUUUGACAACUUAACCAGAUUAGUGUUUUCUUAUCAUCACUUCAAUCAGAGAUCCCCCUAUACCAGACUAAAUUGAAAAAUGUAUUCAUGUCAAAAAGUUCUCAUGCUUUUUUGGCAUUCUAUCCUACUGAUGAUCUUUCAAAUACUGGCAUUAGGUAGUCAACUGCCAACAUGUUCGUGAGAUCCAAAAUUAAAUCAAAUUUCACUACUAAAUGAACUGUAACAAAAAAAAUUUUAUUAUACAUGGUCAGCCAUUGUAUCAUACAUCCAUACUCUUUGGUGAUGAAAGUUUGUUGCCUUGUCUAUCUGUGUACUCUUUACAAAUGUUGCCAGCCAACUCCAGUUAGGAAUAGUAUUGCCAGACAGUCUUCUGAAUCUCUGGCAGUGGUGGCCAAGCUACUACCCCACCAGUGUUUG